rnacentral:rRNA from 1 species
UGCGAAGGGUGCAAGCGUUACUCGGAAUUACUGGGCGUAAAGCGUGCGUAGGUGGUUCGUUAAGUCUGCCGUGAAAGCCCCGGGCUCAACCUGGGAAUGGCGGUGGAUACUGGCGGACUAGAGUUCGGAAGAGGCGAGUGGAAUUCCCGGUGUAGCGGUGAAAUGCGCAGAUAUCGGGAGGAACACCAAUGGCGAAGGCAGCUCGCUGGGACGUUACUGACGCUGAGACGCGAAAGCGUGGGGAGCAAACAGG